CGAGCAGGCCGGGCGGUCGCGGCGGGCUUCGGCCCGGCGAGGAAAGUCCGGACUCCACAGGGCAGGGUGCUUGGUAACGCCAAGGCGGGGCAACCCGACGGAAAGUGGAACAGAAACGACACCGCCGAUGGUCCGCCGAAGCCUCCGGCGGAGACGGGCACAGGCAAGGGUGAAAUGGUGCGGUAAGAGCGCACCGGCGCCGUGGCGACACGGCGGCCGUCUAAACCCCACCCGGAGCAAGUCCAAAUAGGGGAGCAAUGGCGUGGCCCGCGCCGCUCCCGGGUAGGAUGCUGGAGCCGCGCGGCGACGCGCGGCCUAGAGGAAUGGCCGCCUCAGGGUUUCGGCCCCCAGACAGAAUCCGGCUUACAGGCCUGCUCGCGUU
rnacentral:RNase_P_RNA from 1 species